UCUCUGGGGGUGUAUUUAAUUGAGAUUUCAGGUUUUAUGAUGCUUUCAGAAAUGAUUAUCUGUUGUUCCUUUUCAGAAAGGGUGCUCCAUAAAUCCUCAUAGGAUAAUUUUGUAUCUUCCAUAUCCUCAUAGAGUCUUGUAGCAAUGGAAUUCAUACUUCUGAAAUAUUCAUCUGCUGUGCGUUUCAGUGCCAUCUUCUUGAUGCUCUCAAUUUGAUUCCAGUUAGCUCUACAUUUUUCAUGUAUUUUCAAAACAAUUUUACUGAAAUUUCAGUUACUCAUUAUAGUAGUAUCAUCAACCAAUAACCCACCUAAAACCCAACCCAAAAAUCCUGUUUCAAAACAAAACACAGAACGCUAAUUUGGAUGUUACAAGGCACUGAUUUUUGGCAUUGGAAGUGACUAUCCAUUCGGUACCUGGUAACUAAAAUAUACGUGGAACUCCGACAACUUAUUACAUUUUUAAAUUUUGGAUGAAAGUAAAUAUGAUAAUUGAUUGUAUGCAAUUUACCGACUGACGUAACGUUAAUAACUUCCAUUGAUAAAAAGAUUUGUUUUAUCAAAAAUCUUUGAAUUUCUCUCGAGAAUCAUAAGGAACUAAGCUAUAAGAUUUUGGGAUAGUUAGCCACAGAAUUCAUAAUUAUAGGACUGGAACGUGCUUGGAAAUAGAGCUAAUCAAAUUUAUACAUCAAUAUUUAGCUAUAUGAGGAGAGAAAGUGAUAGCUACCCAGAAAUUAUGUUGUUAGAAAACACGACGAAAAGGUUUUCAGUCUUCGGGAAAUUAAUGUGAAGAAAAUUAAGGAGCUAUUUCGUCGUGAACAGUUCAUAUGGCGCACCGACUCGAGUAAAAGUUCUGUUGAAGGGCAACUAACGUUAGCUUUUUAGUAUCAGUUUUCUAUCCAGUGUUGCCAGCCCCACCGAUUUAUCGGUAG